AACAAGAAUGAUGAGAUUAGCCUUGGGUAUGUUUGUGACAAAGGUUAGGGUGUCCUAUUUCAGAAGGAGCUGAUGGGAAAUUAAGAGUGAAUUAACAUCUGAAAUAAACGGCAAUACAAAAAAAGUUUAAAAUACAAAACUAAAAGGGGUGGUUGAAUGUGAAUUCACUUUUUUAACUUUAUUUAGUGUGUAAUGUUGCUGUUUGAGCAUUAUCUGCAAAGUUACUAUGCUGAAAGUUCAAUGCAAACAGAGAUAUUGUCUUUUAAAAUGAUGUCAGUUUAAAGCCUACAAUUACGGCUCGUAGGGACUACAAGAAGCUACUUCCCAGGUUGGUGACAUCACAAACCCUGAAAUUUACAUAAACCCCGCCCCCUGGGAACAUGCAACAAAGGGGGCAAGGCUAUAUAGCGCUGCUUUAGAGAAGAGGAAGAGUUGUUGCCAUGCCGUCAAAGCUAGGGGUGCACGAAAAAUUCUAUUCAUAUAUGAAUCGCUAUUCUGUCUUCUAACGAUUCUUAUGGAUUCACAAGUUUCAAAAUCAAUGUUCUAAAUCAGCUAUUCUUAAUCCUGUUGGUCGCUUUCCCUUGCUCUGCAUACACUCUGCUCUGCAUCUGUCUCUCUCUCUCUUUCUCAGAUCAUCAGCUCGUCACCUCGUCACCUCCAUUAAUGAACUGUGUUCCAAUUGUACACUUUAUGUGUAUAGACAGACAAAUAUUUUUCACAUAGCUAUGAGAAGCAUUUAACAUGGACUUGCACACAGUUGCCGUGGUAGUGAGCAAUACUCGCUGGCAAACACUUCUUACUGUUACAAUAAUGCUGCAACGCAAUCAUGUAUUCUGCUGUAUUAAAGCUUUAAUCAGGAUUAAACCGUAUAUUAGAUGCUAACAUAAGCAGUAGCAUUUACAAAUAACAGCGUAUCUAAAAGUACAGACAACAAGGAGACAACAACAAACAAAAAAAACAUUCUGAAACAUCCUGUAAGAGCUGUGCUUGCACAGGUUCUGAACGAUCCUCUUCACUAAUAUUCUCUGUGUCUCAAUCAGGCACAAAUUGAUAAGCAAUAUUGACGAUGUCAUUGUUUACAAUACAAUCGGAGCACAUGAGGGGCAUGAUGUUUCUGGACUGCACUAGGCAGUUUAGUGAAUCACAACACACUGGGCCAGCUAACCAAUCUGAGCCCAUUGCGUAUUUCUGAGGGAGGGGCUUUAUAAAACCAGGAAAUCAUCAGUGCGUUCAUAGGAGAAGGGACAUAACGGUGAAGAAUAAAGGUAAAUUAUGUGAAAAAUAAUGCUUUUUAGAAAAUAAAUAAAUAAACCCGAAACAUUAACACAUACACUCCAUAAACACAAUCAAGCCUAGUAGGCCAUACGGUGAAGCCAUUUUUUGUUUAAUCCCGUUCCCAUACAUGGGGCACUAAAUUCUUUUCAUUCCAAAAAAAAGAUCUAUUGGUUUUGAGCGAGAAAAUAAAAGUUCUCCAUGUGUAAUCCUGCAGUUUAUUUUUUAUAAGAGUUUAAAUUUGACAAUAGUUCUUUCCUCGCGUAAUCGUAUUUUGAUUGUGAGUGAUGAGGCUUUGCGUCAUGUGCUUCCCAUUAGACCAAUAAGGUGGCCGCUUUUCGGAACAACAUGUAAACAUAAGUCCAAGAUGUUUGCGCCCUUGUCAUCACUAGUAGUGAAGAAGAGGAACUUACGGCCAGACCUCCUUCAAAACUAUGUAAAAUUUAUUAUAAACAACGCUAUAAGCAUCUCACGUCCAUAAACAAAUAAAAAACAAAGGAUUUUACACACACACGGUGGAUACAUACAGAAACGACGUCAACAAGUGACUUGGCUUGCAGCAUGAAAAUCAGAAAAUAGCAGAAACAUACAAACAUUGUUUCUGCUUUGUGCAUAAAUUUUAAGAAAACGGACAAGUACAUUACUGUGGCAGGCAAACACCAGAAGGACCAUCUUUCACAGGCAGAAACGUUGUCAGCAGGCCAGAUGCUGAAAGUGACAUGAUGAGAUGAAAGAAGACAAAAUAAAGAUUCUGUGUCUCUGGAGACAGGUGGGUUGGAACUGAAGUCUGCAGGAUGGUAGCUCUCCUGGUCUGCUGCAACAGUUACUGGGGCCUUAAAAGAAAAGUGAGUUACUAUAUUGGAUUAUCAAAUAAUGAAUAUUACCGUAUUGACCCGAAUAUAAGACGAUGUUUUUUUCUUGGAAAUCCAUCUGAAAAAACGCGGUCGUCUUAUAUAGACUUUGACAUGUCAAUAAUACACCCACAACAAUAGGUGGCGCAUACGCAUAAAAUGAGUGUGCCAAGAAAUACGUAAUGUAAUGUGUUGUAAUAAUGUUAGAAGAUUGAGAGUGAAAACAAAAGAAAAAGAAACGCUUACAGCGGCACGAGUCAUGGCUGUCAUGUUAGCCUGAUGGGAACAAACUUCCUCUGUAAGUGAUUUUAAAAUGUAAGACAGUACCCAGAUUUGAAGAUAAGAUUUCACUUCUACUGUUAAUGACAUUUUGCUAGGCUACUAAGAUGGACAGCCUAAUUGUUAUAUAAUUCAGAUUGGCUACCUGUUAUUUGUAUGGUAUAUCAAAAAGUGUAUAUUUUUAAAUGUAAUUGUUGGUACAUUUUACCAGUAUUUACCAUACUUUCAAAACAAAAAUUAAAAUAGGAAAAAUAUGCCAUAUGAAAUUCAAGAAUUUUUUUCCCCCCCCUUAAUAAAACCCCUGAUUAAAAGGGUCGUCUUUAAUCAGGGUUGUCUUAUAUUCGGGUCAAUACGGUAAUUCCCUCACAUUAUUGCACAUUUCAAAAGUAAAGCAUUGAUCAUCUUCAUGGUCUGUAUAUUGUUGGUUCGUCUGUAAACACAGUCUUGACUGCACAACUCUUGGUACAGUAAUUCAAUAUGAUCAAAUGUGUAGUGGUUCAUGAAGGUAAAAGAAAAUAGGAAUAAUUCAUAACCAAUGUAUUUUCUUUCUGGAGAAUAAAAAAAAAAAAAGUUUUUUUUAAAUUGCUUGGUGAAUUGCUUUUGAUUUGCUAUUAUUUAUACUAGAUUUAAAAUAAAAGCCAUUGUGAAAAAAUUAUGGUUCAUAACAUAUCUUUUCUGUUUUUAAAGUGUUUUCUUUCAGAAAUUAGCCAACCUUCAAUGCCAACUACAAGAUGUGAGAGAAUCGUCUGCCAUAGACAAAUUGUAAACCAAGAGGUGCUGACAAUGAUGUUAAGAAGGAUCUUUUUAAAUCUUGUGGAAAAAAAUGAAGAUCUUGAUUCCUCAAAUCACAGUGAUCCAUACCUUCUCAGGUUGUGACCCUACAAGCGCCUUUUAUGUAGAGAUGGGACAUUUGACACUGAGGCUCUGAAGCCGGUUUUACUCUAUGUAAGCAGACUGGUUUGAAAGACUGUGUCAAGGCUUGUAUCAAAUCUCCGAGAUCAAGAGACCAAUGAUGUUUGAAGCUUCAUACGUUACAAUGAAACGCCUAAAGCGAGGUGACUGAUUCGAAUCUUUGGCGCGGCUUCAUUCGUUAUAAGGAGACAUGAAAUGCUUGGUGUUCCUGCCCUGCUUCAUAGUAACAUAGUAACACUUUCAUGUGUUGACAAUGAUUCUCUGAAUGAAGAAUCUGCUGCUACUGUUGAGUAUUGCUUUUGCUCCAGGACUGAUGUUGCCUACCCCUGCUCUGUACCAACACUGCAAACUACCAAACAGCCAUAAUGAGACCAUGACCUUGAUGACUAGAAAUCUUGCCCCUGAAAGUGUGUUGCAGGUAGUCUGCGGCAGUUUCUGUGUUGUACUGAUUUAUGUCAGUUAAGGUGACCAGAUGUGCCACUUCCUGGGGACACGUUCUACACAGGAUUUCUAAAUUGCCUAAAAUAACCAGGUGUUGGUUGUUUGCGUUGCGCAGAAUGAUCAUUGUAUGACCUCAAAGUAUGUGUCCCCGAGAAGUGGCCUGGUCACCAUAAUGUCAGUGCCAAUACACACUUGAGUAUACUAAUGCACCAAUACUGGUCUCAAAUAUUUAGUUACAUGUAUAAAUGUCAGUUUGAGAGAUAUUUUGUGUUGCUAAAAUGAAUAUAAAUAAAGUUACAAGCAAAACCGGCAACAUAAGAUUUUCGUAUGUAUUUUUUUCUUCAAUUCACAAUUAUAUACGUUUAUGGAUUGUGACAAAAAAACUGCAGGAUAUUUUGCGGAGAACUUUUAACCUGAAGUCUAAAAGGGUAUUGUCUAUGCAAAAAUGCAUUGAACAAGUAGUGCCCAGGUGUGGGAACGAAAAUCACUUUCUAGACACUUUUUGCUAGUUCACCUUAUGGCCUAUAGCCAUAAAAAACAGUCAACCACCCCUUUUAACAAGUUAAAUAUUAAAAAAAGUUUUAAAUUAUAAAAUUUAUAAAUUCUAUACAAAUUAAGUUAUAUGUAAAAUUAAGUUACAGAAGUACUUUUUUUAAACAUGUAAUUGGAGUGCUAUAACCAAACAAAUAUGUGCAUAUGGCAUAUCAUAUUUGAAGGAGAAACCUAAUACAAUGGUGUUAAAUCAAAAUUGUUUAAAUGAAGUGAACAGCAUAAAAAAAAUCUGUGACCUUAAAAUGGACAUAAUUACUGCUUGCAACAAACCACCAAAAGUAUUUGUAAUGAUUUUCUUUUUUUCCUGACAUUAUUGGGGUGCCAAGCACCAAAGGUGUUUAUUUCCCUGGCUCCUGAGUUUAUGGCAAACUGAACUGAAACUUUUUUUUUUUGCUUCCGUCCCACAGCCAAAGCCAGCCGCCAUGUUCGUCACAAUUUGCUAUAACAUUCAUAUAACAAAGGUCCAAAAAUUGACAAUAAUAGGACAUAUGAAGAAAGGUUCGUGAGUUAUGACACAGAUAUAAUUUUGUGUCUCUUAUAUAGCGAGAUGUACAUACGGUGGAUGGUCUUAUAAUGUAUUGAAUGAUUGGCCUGGUUUAAAUUUCUUUCCAUUUGGGUUGGAAACCAAUUCAUCCUAACUCACCUAAACUAAAACAUUUAAUCAUGGUUUGUAGGUAUAAUAAAUCAGUAGAUUGUAUAAUUUUGUAACCAGACAUUUUGAACGUCACUGUGAUUGAAAAUGUGUUGGUUAUACGUAUUAUCUUAUGGUACACUAUGUCUGCAUUGUUUUAAAUAAAACAAAUAUGACAAGCAUGAUAGAGAGAAAAGAAAACAUGAACAUCAGUAGCUGACCAUUUUGGAGUGGUAAAAGGAUGCUUUUUUAUUAAAGCAAUUUGAAUUCUUUUUAGAAGGUCAACCCAAGCACACACGCCACACUUCACCACAAUGGUAACUCACCCAAAAACACAGUAACAGAACAGAAAGUCAUUUAAAAUACCAAUGUAAUAGAACAUUAGACUUUGACAAGUCACACUGUUUUCUCAUCAUUCUAAAAAUUGCAUACAAUUAUUAAAAACACUUUCAACAUUUUCUCUCCCCAUAUCCUGCCCUGUGUAAUGCAUGAUGAGAAGUGUAAAACUUAUUGAGCUACUUGACUGAAACAUGUUCUUUUAAAAUGAAAACACUGAGGUAAACCAAAAAGUAACCAUUUCAAGUCAGUUUAACAUGAUUCAGCCAUAUUUAUAUGAGAAACCUGAUACAAUGGUGUUAAAUCAAAAUGAAUGGUUUAAAUAAAGUGAACAGCAUCAGAAAAUAAAUAAAAAUCUGUGCAACCUUAAAAUGGACAUAAUUUGUCAAUAAAUAUUUUUUUGUUGUUUUUGUUUGAGUGAACCUGUAAUUUUCAAGUAAACAACUUGAUUACCUGGUUCAGGUGUGUUUGAUUGGGGUUGGAGCUGAACUCUACAUGACAGCACUUUAGCUGUUUAAAUUAAGCCUCAUCACAACCUGUUUAUAGCACAAUGCAGAUCAAGGAAGCAGAAGUUGGUGCAGGGUGGAAGUCUACUUUAGAUUUCAGGGUUAGAAAUUCAGUCAAAUAAGAGUAAUAUUGUAACAGCAGUCCACUGGAGGCGAGUUUAAGAACCCAAGUGCAGUUUAUUUACAAAAGGUGAUCCAAAAUACAAACAUAAUCCGAACAGAGACUUGACUUGGUAUGAACAGAUUUGACAUGGCUUGAACAUACUUGACUCACCGGCAGCAUGUUACGACAUCAAUACACGACGAGAGACAAUGGCAACAUGAUGGCUACUUAGAGCAAACAAUACAGGUCACAUGACAAGAAUCAAUCAAUGAGCAAACAGAACUGAGAGUCACAUGACAGGACAAUACCCAAUCAGAAUAUGACACAAUGAACAAAGGAACCAAUAGCAGGAAUACAUGAGGGCAAGGGAAGCAUGACACAAACAGGGACCAUGACUAAACUAGAGGUCUGCGCGGGACUGUUUUUUAAGUCCCGCUCCUGCCCGCUCCCGCGAGGUUAUAUCCCACACCCGCCCACUCCCGCGAUAUAUUUACUCUUUGUUCACCAGCUGUCCGCUUUGAAUAAUUUUCUUCCCGACCGCUAAAUUUAGAUCUGGCUUCCAGAAUCACACAUUUAAAUUUCCUCUACUGAAAGAAAGACAGAUAGGCUAACAAAUAAAAAUGUAGUCUGCACAAAAUUGUAUUUGUUAUUUUAUUCGUCUUGUCAAGAGUCUUUUAUUGACAGCAAAAUGUUAAACGAAUUUUGUGUCUUAAGACACGAAAUUCGUUUAACAUUUUGCUGCCAACACAGUAGAGAAAAAAGUGUCACAGAGAAAAUAAAAAUGUACAAAAACUGUAUUCCUUAUUUUUAUUUUUAACCGAGUUGAGUGUUCUUCAAGGACAGCGCAUCCACACUUUGCUCCAUCUUUAUUCUGCUCUGUCACUCAUCGACAACCUGCCUGUUCUGUCUGCGGGCCGUAGGCUAUAUUCACUAUAGGCUAGCCUGCUCUGAGCAUGCGUGCAGCGCGUGCAUAACAGUCCAGUGCAGGCUGUACCGGUGCUUGAAUAAAGCGCAGAUAUGCUGUUCUGAAAAGACGUCGGGAACGGGGUAUUGUUAGACCGCCCGCUCCCGUUCAAAUUGCACCAGAGUUACCGACCGCAACCGCGUUUUAUUCGGGAAUUUAAUCCCGCAUCGCAAGAAAUCUGAUCAGGCAGCCGCGGGAAUGCAGACCUCUAGACUAAACUCCAAAAUAAAAGACAUGAAAACAUGAACAUGAAACCAAACCCAAAACAGGCGUGACAAAUAUUUUCACUUUAGAAAACACUAUGAAUUCUUAAACUUUCUUGACAUUCUUUCAAUUUCUUUGUUGAUUAACUGUACCUGUUUUUUUUGUAUUCUUC